ACCGCGGAGGGUGAAAGUCCCGUCCAGCCCAUUCAGGACAUUUCGCACGAAGUUGCUCAUAUGAGUCGCGUAGCUUGUGAAUGCUGCGCUAAGUCGGUGGUAAAUCUCAUCGAAGGCUAAAUACUGGUAGGAGACCGAUAGUGAACAAGUACCGUGAGGGAAAGAUCAAAAGCACUUUGAAAAGAGGGUGAAAAGAACCUGAAACCGUUACGACAGAAGCGUAUUGCGUUGAAUUGAGGGCUGUUUAACUCUUCAGCUGAACGUGAGUUUAGUGUACUGAGUUAAGUAGUUAUCCGUCGUGCCUUUUCUGUGGCUGAUAUUGAGCCGCGGGAGAGGGAGGGAUCCCCUUUAUGGGUGAGGACGAUGGAGUGGCAACGCGAUGCGACCCGUCUUGAAACACGGACCAAGGAGUCUAACAUGUUUGCGAGUUGAAGGGUAGUAAACCUGGAGGCGCAGUGAAAGCGAACUUCUAAAACGGACAGUUUGUGGCGGCAUAAAAUCGUUGAUUUUAGGUCUGACUAAGAGCAAAUAUGUUAGGACCCGAAAGAUGGUGAACUAUGCUUGAGUAGGCCGAAGGCAGAAGAAAUUCUGCUGGAGGGCCGAAGCGGUGCUGACGUGCAAAUCGCUCGUCGAACUCGAGUAUAGGGGCGAAAGACUAAUCGAACCAUCUAGUAGCUGGUUCCCUCCGAAGUUUCUCUCAGGAUAGCGGGCCGACAAUUAUUGUUUUGUGCGGUAAAGCGAAUGAUUAGCGCACUCGGGGGCAUUCAGUCUUCGGUCGAUUCUCAAACUUUUAAUGCGCAAGGGGGCUGCAGCUUAGGUGUGCGGCUCCUCUAAAAAUGUCGGCCUUGUGGGCCACUUUUGGUAAGCAGAACUGGCGAUGUGGGAUGAACCAUACGCGUGGU
rnacentral:rRNA from 1 species